CUAUUUAGAACGCUGUCCAGGGGAGGAGCCAAGAUGGCCGAAUAGGAACAGCUCCGGUCUACAGCUCCCAGCGUGAGCGACGCAGAAGACGGGUGAUUUCUGCAUUUCCAUCUGAGGUACCGGGUUCAUCUCACUAGGGAGUGCCAGACAGUGGGCGCAGGCCAAGGCGGUGGGACCGAAGUUACCUCUGGAGUAUGAAAAUAAGCAACACCAUUAUGAAAAGUCAAAAGAACUUUGGAGUCAAACAGUCCUGCAUUUGAAGGCUAGUGCUACCACUCACCAUUAGGCUAUUUAACCCCAUACUUCUUAAAGUUGGAUAAGGGAUGGAUGGUAUACCAGGAGAUAUGAAAAAGCAGAGGCUGAACAUAGUAAUCUUCCUACAGAAUCAGUUUUAUUCAAUUGUUUUUGGGAAAUAUUUUUAUAUUCAAA
rnacentral:lncRNA from 1 species